rfam:Paenibacillus sp. 11 genome assembly, contig: Ga0139009_103
GAUACCUUUAAUUCAGUCCCGUGAGGCUGACAAGGACAGCGGAAGCAUGAUCAUUGGUAGGGGUACGUGUGCGCACGUAUAAGCCCUAUUGUUUUAUUAUGGUCUUAAUUAGGCUUAUUGUCAGGAUACCGGGCAAUAAGCCUUUUUUAUU